ACUCCACAAUUGAAGAUGGCGAGAAGGAACUUCCAUAUCAGCUGCAAACAGACCCUAAAUGGCUGCACUCGGCUUCUGCUCUCCGUUAAUCCUGGACUUGAUGCCCUUCAGUGCACAUUAACAAGAAUGGAAACCAUGCAGAGGAGGUUUCUGAUGUCCUGUGCUUUCAGUGUGUCUCAGAUGGCAGAUAUUCUACAUGUGUCCUGAUCAACAGUCAAACGUUGUCUAAGAUACUUCAAUUUGUUACAUGCACCAACCAUUAUAUUCUGACAUGUCAGACUUGGCUCUGGAUGAAAAGAUAAAGGACUUGGUGGCUGGGAACGACAAACGUGGAGCGGAGGCUGUUCGAUCACAAUUAAGGGCUCUGGGUGCAGAGACUCAGAUUGAGGGACAGCAUGCUUCGUGUUAACCCGAGGGCGGCUGCCCUUAGAGCCAUGUCGCAGAGGCUGCAUAGAAGGUCAUACCGUGUUGCUGGACCAAACUCGUUAUAGCACCUUCAUGGAAACCACAAACUGAUAAGGUGGAGGAUAGUCAUACAUGGUGGCAUUGAUGGGUACAGCCGUCUCGUUGUUUCUCCGUGCUUCCAGCAGCAAUCGCAGCAGUACUGUAAUGGAUUGCUUCGUGAAUGCUGUCUCCAGAUAUGGCGUUCCCUCCAGAGUUAGGACGGACCAUGGAGGAGAAAACGGCACUGUCUGCUUGUUGAAUUGGUGACCUCCAAACACUGCUAAAGAGUUAAUGAGAUGCCAACCAAGUUAACGUGAUGAUUGUGCAAUGAGAGGCUUUAAGAGAGCCCGCUUUAGUCCGGAGGAAAAAAUAGACAUGGUUUUUAGGGAUGCUGACAGAAAAGGGGCCGCUGAGGGUGGUCCCUCAAGAGAAUUUCUCCGGCUGCUAAUGAGUGCCACCCAUUCCUCUGCAAUAUUUGAGGGACCUGCUUGGCAAAAAUGUCUUUCUUGCAACUCU